GGGAGACUUAGAGCCCGAGCGGAGGCGGUGCGGAGCGUUUUUCGUCUCAGCGGCUCGGGAACCAGUGCGUGCUGCGGAGCUGCGGCUGAGCCUCUAGGUAGAAGGCGCAAGAGGUUGGCAGCUUCGAUUGAAGCACGUCGGGCGGCGAGAGCAGCUAGAAGUCAUGAGCGACAGCGGCGAGCAGAACUACGGCGAGCGGGAAUCCCGUUCUGCUUCCAGAAGUGGAAGUGCUCAUGGAUCUGGGAAAUCUGCAAGGCAUACCCCUGCAAGGUCUCGCUCCAAGGAAGAUUCCAGGCGUUCCAGAUCAAAGUCCAGGUCCAGAUCUGAAUCUAGGUCUAGAUCCAGAAGAAGUUCUCGAAGGCAUUAUACAAGGUCACGAUCUCGGUCCCGGUCCCAUAGAAGAUCCCGUAGCAGAUCUUACAGUAGAGAUUAUCGAAGACGGCAUAGCCACAGUCAUUCUCCCAUGUCUACUCGCAGGCGUCAUGUUGGGAAUCGGGCAAAUCCUGAUCCCAACUGUUGUCUUGGAGUAUUUGGAUUGAGCUUAUACACUACAGAAAGAGAUCUAAGAGAAGUGUUCUCUAAAUAUGGCCCAAUUGCUGAUGUGUCUAUUGUAUAUGACCAGCAGUCUAGACGUUCAAGAGGAUUUGCCUUUGUAUAUUUUGAAAAUGUAGAUGAUGCCAAGGAAGCGAAAGAGCGUGCCAAUGGAAUGGAGCUUGAUGGACGUAGGAUCAGAGUUGAUUUCUCUAUAACAAAGAGACCACAUACCCCAACACCAGGAAUUUACAUGGGGAGACCUACCUAUGGCAGCUCACGCCGUCGAGAUUACUACGACAGGGGAUAUGAUCGAGGCUAUGAUGAUCGGGACUAUUACAGCAGGUCAUACAGAGGAGGAGGUGGAGGAGGAGGAGGAUGGAGAGCUGCUCAAGACAGGGAUCAGAUAUACAGAAGACGGUCACCUUCUCCCUACUAUAGUCGUGGAGGAUACAGAUCACGUUCCAGAUCUCGAUCAUACUCACCUCUGACCUGCAAGGACCUUCACUAACCCCUCAACCCACCAGGUCUCUCCAACCUCAUCUUGCAACUUUCCUUUUGGAUACUAGAAGCAGGAGCUUCCUCAGCUUUAGUAAACGAGUAGAAAUUCCAACAAUAAGCCACUUGUGAAGAGGAGAGGAGCAAGGAGGAGGCAAGAUGGAGACAAGACUUGGAACUGAGUAUCUAUUAUGUUCUGCAUGUAAGGAAACUGGAAGUCACCACAACAUCCUAACAAGUAAAAGCUGAACAACAACAAAAAGUCAACAGCUCUUUUUCCAUCUGUAAGAGAGGUAAGGUCAUAGGGCAAACUGCUGCCCCCCAAAUUGAAGAGAUGGGCAAAUACAUUGGAAUCUCAGCUUAGUGGAGUUGAAACCCACAAGCAGAAAUCUCUGCAAAAACCAUUCACCAGAGCAUUCUGUACCUCUUAAAGAUCUGGCCCCAGGAGAAACUAUUUAACCAGAGCCCAACAUGCUGGGAUUUUAUCAGAGCCUAGCUGACGUGGAAAAGGGAAAUACCCAACUCCAGCUUGCUCUAGCUAUCUUGUCCCACAUAAGAGGCCAGGAAUGGUGGUGGUGUGUUGGGGCAGGGGGCUCAGAAGCACUUGUGAAGUUUACAGGGCAGAGGCACAGACACACUAGAAGACUGACACUAAUCACAGGAGUAUAGAUGGUUUCCCCUCUACCCAUACCUUACCACCACAUUUCUAAAGGCUUACGGCAAUUCCUUAUAGCCAGUACAUUAUGUCCAGCUAACGGGGGGAAAAAAUACAAGGCAUAUUAAAAGGCAAAAGCCACAGUUCGAAGAGACAGUAGGCAUUAGAACCAGACUUAGAUAUGGCAGGGAUGUUGGAAUUAACAGACUGGGAACUUAAUUAAAACCACUGUUUAAUAUGCAAAGGGCUGUAAUGGAUAAAAUAGCAUGCAGGAACAGAUGGGCAGUGCAAGCAAAGAGAUGCAAACUAAGAAGAAAUCAAAAAGAAAUGCUAGACAUCAAAAACACUGCAGAAAUAAAAUGCCUUUACCAGAUAAUAAAACAGGACAUAGCUAAGAAAGGAAUUGCUGAGCUUAAGGAAUUCUCAAUAGAAACUGCCAAAACUGAAAGAAAAACACCAAAAACCCAAGAACUAAGACAACUGCAAAAGGUAUAGCUCAUAUAUAUAAUGGUAAUACUAAAAGAAGACGAACAGAAGAAAUAUUUUAAACAAUAAUGAUUGAGAAUUUACCCAAGUUAAUGUCUAUUGUAGACUGUGUUGCCCUCAGAAUAAUAUGUUGAAACUUCAUCUCUAAUGUCAUGUUAUUUGGAGCUUUGGCCUUUGGGAGGUAAUUAGAUCAUGAUGAUGGGGCCCUCAUAAAUGGGAUUAGACACCAGAGAGCUCCCUUGCUCCUUCCACCAUGCAAGCACAACAGUGAAUCAGGAGGUGGAUCUUCACCAGAUGCUGAAUCUGCCAGUGUCUUGAUCUUGGAUUUUCCAGCCUCCAGAACUAUAAGAAAUUUCUGUUUAUAAGCCAAUCCAGUUUAUGCUACUAUGUUAGAGCAGCCUGAACAGACUGGAUGCCAAAGCACAGAUCCAAAAAACUCAGAACACCAAACAGGGUAAAUGCCCCAAAACCACAACAGGGCAUGUCAUUUUCAAACUACAAAUAAUUGAAGAUUAAAAAUCCUGGAAGAAGCCAGAGGAAAAACGCAUUUUACCUAUAGAGGAGCAAAGAUAAGAAUUAUAUUUGACUUCUCAGAAACCAUGAAGGAAGAGUGGUGUGUGAACAAUGUUGAGAGAAAAAAACCCACCAACUUAGAAUUUCUGUGCCUUGCGAAAUUAUCCUUCAAAAGUGAACAGUGGGACUUCCUUGGUGGCGCAGUGGUUGAGAGUCUGCCUGCUGAUGCAGGGGAAGCGGGUUUGUGCCCCGGUCCGGGAAGAUCCCACAGGCCGCAAAGCAGUUAGGCCCGUGAGCCAUGGCCGCUGAGGCUGUGCGUCCGGAGCCUGUGCUCUGCAAUGGGAGAGGCCACAACAGUGAGAGGCCCGGGUACAGCAAAAAAAAAAAAACAGUGAAGACUCAGAAUCAGAAUUGAAGGAAUUCGUUGCUAGUACACCUGUCCUGCAAGAUAAGCUCUUGAGAGAAAAGGAAAAUAAUACAGAUUAUAAAGAUAUCUACAUAAAGGAAGAGCAUCAAAGAAAGAUUAGUGAAGGUAAAAUUUUUUAUUCUUAAUUGACCUAACAAUUAUUUUGAACAAAAUGUUAACAGUGUGUUUGAUUACGUAUGCUUACGUAUGUCAUAUAUGUGUAUAUUUGUAUAUUCUUAUAUGUAAAUGAAUGAUAGCAAUGAUACAAGAGAUGCUAGGGAGGAACUAUUAUUAAAAAGGACACUACUGGUGAAGCAGUGUAGUAGCAUUUUAAAGUGGAUUUGGAUUAGCUGUAUAUUGCAAACUCUAGGAUAACCACUUAAAGUAAAGUAUAACUGAUAUGCUAAGAAAAUGGAAAUAUGCUCAAAACCACAAAAAGGAGAAAGAACAAAAAUAAGGAACAAAGAACAAGUAGAACAAAAAUAGAACAAACAUGGUAGAUAUUAAUCUAACUAUAUCAAUAAUCACUUUGAAUGUCAAUGGUAUAAAUAAAGGAAUUAUCAAAGUGAAUCAAAAAAAUAAAGUGGGUUUAUUGUAGACAAGACACAUACAGACUAAAAGUAAAUAGAUGAAGAAAGAUAUACCAUGCUAAUAAUACUAAUGAAAAGAAAGCAGGAGCACAGUAAGUCCCCUACAUACGAAGUUAUGAACUUGAUGCAGAUGCAAAUGUGCAUUCUCAUGUCCAGUCACGUUAGUUCAUGUGUCUAGUGUACAUCGUCAUGUGUGUGCAUCCUCUACAAGUGGUUGUGCUUCUGUAUACUUUACUGUAUAGAGCACAGUAUCUUUAUAUCAAGCCCAUGGUGUCUGGAAGCAAGCGUAAAAGCAGCAGUGAUACAGCUGGUACACUGCAGCCUAUUGUGUUAGUUGGGUACCUAGGUUAACUUUGUUGGACUUGUGAAAAACGACUUACAGAUGUGCUCUCGGAACAGAACUUGUUUGUAUGUAGAGGACACUGUACUCUUAUUAAUUUCAGAGUAGACUUCAGAGCAAGGAAAAUUACCAGGGUUAAUAAAAAGAGGCAUAAUGAUAAAGGGAUCUUCAAGAAGAUAUAAGAAUCCUUAUGCACCUAACAACAGAGCAUCAAAAUAUGUGUAGCAAAAACUGAUAGAACUGCAAGAAGAAAUAGAUAAAUCCACUAGCUUGGAUAGAAACUUCAACUCCCCUCUCAGAAGUGAACAGAUCCAACAGGCAGAAGAUCAGUAAGGACAUAGCUGAACUCAGCACCACCAACAAUCAACUGGAUAUAAUGGACAGCUAUAGAUUGCUUCACCACCAACAGCAGAAUACACAUUUUUCUCAGGUUCACCUAGAUAACAUUCUGGGCCGUAAAACUAAACUAAACAAAUUUAAACAAAAAUACAAUGCCUGCUCUCAUUACCACAAUGGAAUUAAAGUAGAAAUCAGUAACAACUGGAAAAAUCCCCAAGUAAUUGGAGAUUAAACAACACACUUCUAAAUUUUAAAAUAUUUUGAAACGAAAAUUGUGAGAUGCAAUGGAAACAGUGCUUAGAGGGAAAUUUAUAGCAUUGAAUGUGAAUAUUAGAAAAGAAGAAAGGUCUAAAAUCAAUUUCCUAAGCUUCCACCUUAGAAAAUUAGGAAAAGGAGAGCAAGUUAUAUCCAAAGUAAGAGAAAAGGAAAUAAUAAAAAUUAGAGCAGAAACCAAUGAAAUUGAAAACAGGAAAUCAAUAGAGAACAGCAAAACAAAAGCUGGCUCUUUGAAAAGUUCAAUAAAAUUGAUGAGCUGCUAGCAAGGCUAACUUAAAAAAGAGACGGGACACAAAUUACUAAUAUUAUAAAUAGAAAAAGGAACAUAAUCUCAGACCCAUGGGCAUUAAAAAGGAUCAUCAAAGAAUAGUAUGAACGACUUUAUGCCCACACAUUUGAUAACCUAGAUGAAAUGGAGCAAUUUCUUAACAAGAGAAAAAUAGAAGAUUUGGGCCCACAGAUGGCUGGUCUACUUCUGGGGACUCUGUGUCUGAAGCCAGCACACCAAGACCACAGGUCACCAUGGCCACACCAUGGGUGUGUCCAAGAAGAAAUUUGUGGGCAUUGUCUGUUAAUAGUUUAUACAGUAAAAAAUAAUUUGCAUAGGCCUAUAUCAAAGAAAUUGAAUCACUAACGAAUAACCUUCCGAAACAGUAUCCAGGUGGAUUCACUGAUGAAUUGUACCAAACAUUUAAGGAAGAAUUGUACCAAUUCUCUUCAAAGGAAGUACUUUCUAACUAUCCUCCCUAUCCUAUGAGGAUAGCAUUACCCUAAUACCAAAACCAAAUACAUUACAAGAAAAUUACAGAUCUCUCAUGAACACACAUGCAAAAAUCUUCAACAGAAUAUUAGCAAAUCAAAUCCAACAAUGUAUAAAAGAAUUAUACACCAUGACCAAGUGGGAUUUAUCCCAAUUAUGAAAGACUGGUUCAGAAUUCAAAAAUCAAUUAAUGUAAUCCAUUACAUUGACAGGGUAAUUGAGAAAAAUCACAUGAUCAUAUGCAGAAAACGCAUUUGAUAAAAUCUAACACUUAUCCAUGAUAAAAACUCUCAAUAAGCUAAGAAUAGAGGGGAACUUCCUCAGCUUGAUUAAAAAAAAAAACUACAAAGACCCUUAGAGCUAACAUUGUACUAGAUAAACUAGGAGCUUUCCCACUAAGAUCAAGAACAAGAAAAGGAUGUCUCACCGUUCCUUUUCACCAUCAUCCUCAAAGUCCUGGCUAAGGCAAUAACACAAAAAAAGGAAAUAAAAAUAUACAGAUUGAGAAGGAAGAAACAACUGGUUUUGUUCACAGAUGGCAUGAUUGUGUAGAAAAUCUUAAAGAAUUGACCCCCAAAACCCUCCUGGAACUAAUAAGCAAUUAUAGCAAGGUUGCACGAUACAAGGUUAAUAAUACAAAGGCCAACACUCCUAUAUACCAGCAAUUAACGAGUGGAAUUUGAAAUUAAAACUACAGUACCAUUUACAGUACCACCCCAAAAUUGAAAUAAUUAGGUAUAAAUCUAACAAAAUACAUGUAAGAACUAUAUGAGGAAAACUAUGACACUGAUGAACAAAAUCCAAGAAUAAAUAGGUGUUCCAUGUUCAUGGAGAGGAAGACUCAAUAUUGUCAAGAUGUCAGUUCUUUCCAAAUUUAUAGAUGCAAUGCAAUCCCAAUAAAAAUUCCAGUAAGCUAUUUCAUUGAUAUUGACAAAAUGAUUCUAAAGUUUAUUUGGAGAGGCAAAAGACCCAGAAUGAUCAACACAAUAUUGAAGGAAAAGAAGAAAACUGAAGGACUGAUACCACGUGGCUUCAAGACUUAACAGUAAUAAAUACAAUGUGGUAUUAGAGAAAGAAUAGAUCAAUAAAACAAUAGAGAACCCAAAAAUAGAAUGCAGAAAUAGCCCCAUAUAAAUAAAGUCAACUGAUCUUUAGCAAAGGAGCAAAGGUAAUGCAAUGGAAAAGAUAGUCUUUUCAACAAAUAGUGCUGAAACAACUGGAUAUUCACAUGCAAAAAAACCCAAAAAACACGUAGACACAGACCUUAAACCUUUACAAAAAUUAAUUUAAAAUGCAUCACAGACCUAAAUGUAAAAUAGAAAACUUCUAGAAGGUAGCAUAGAAAAUUUAGAUGACCUUGGAUAUGGUAAUGACUCUUUUGAGAAAACAGUAAAGGAAUAAUCCAUGAAAGAAAUAACCUGGACUCAUUUAAAAUUUAAAACUUCUACUUUGUGAAAGAUAAUGUCAAGAGAAUGAGGAGGCAAGCCACACCCUGGGAGAAAAUAUUUGCAAAAGGCACAUCUGAUAAAGGAGUAUUAUCUAAAAUAUACAAAGAACUCUUAAAACUCAGCAAUAAAAAAAUGAACAACCGAUUAACAAACGGGCCAAAGAGAGCUUUACCAAAGGGAAAAUAUACACAAGGUGAAUAAACAUGAAAAGAUGCUCACAUCGUGUGUCACCAGGGAAUGCAAAUUAAAACAAGAUACCACUACGCAUCUAUUAGAAUGACCCAAAAAAUCCAGAACACCAACAGCAUCAGAUGCUGGUGAGGAUGUAAUACAACAGGAAGUCUUACUGCUGGUAGGAAUGCAAAAUGGUAGACAUUUUGGAAGACAGUUUGGCAGCCAGCGUCUUACAAAACUGAACAUAAUCUUGGAUUGUAUAAUCCAGCAAUCACACUCCUUGGUAUUUACCUAAAGAAGUUGAAAAUUUAGGUCCACUCAAACCCCUGUUUCUGGCAGUUUUGUUCAUAAUUCCCCACAGUGGGAAGCAACAGAGGUAUCCUUCAGUGGGUGAAUGGAUAAACUGGUACAUCCAGACAAUGUAAUUUUAUUUAAUAUUAUUUAUCACUAAUGAGUUAUCAAGCCAUGAAAAGACAUGGAGGAAACAUACAUAUUGCUAAAUGAAAGAAGCCAAUGUGAAAAGGCUAUAUGCUGUAUGAUUCCUACUACUAAUAUGACAUUCUGGAAAAGGCAAAACUAUGAAGACAGUAAAAAUAUAGUAGUUGCCAGGGGUUGGGGGCAAAGGAGAGGGAUGAAUAGGCUAAGCACAGAGGAGUUUUAGGGCAAUGAAAGUACUCUGUAUGACACUAUGAGGGUAAAUACACGUCAUUAUACAUUUUUUUAAACCCAUAGAAUGUACACCACCAAGAGUGAACUAAUGUAAAUUGUGGACCUUGGGUGAUUAUGAUGUGGCAAUGUAGGUUCAUUAAUUGUAACAAAUGCAUCACUCUGUUGGAGGAUGUUGAUAAUGGGGGAGGCUAUGCACAUGUGGGGGCAGGAGGUAUAUGAGAAAUCUCUGUACAUUCCUGUCAAUUUUGCUGUGAAUGUAAAACUGUUCUGAAAGGAUGAAGUCUUUUUUUUUUUUUUUUUUUU